rnacentral:rRNA from 1 species
UACGUAGGGGGCAAGCGUUGUCCGGAAUCAUUGGGCGUAAAGCGCGUGUAGGCGGCUCGAUAAGUCUGCUGUGAAAGUCCAGGGCUCAACCCUGGAAUGCCGGUGGAAACUGUCGAGCUAGAGUCCGGAAGAGGCGAGUGGAAUUCCUGGUGUAGCGGUGAAAUGCAUAGAUAUUAUCAAGAACACCGAUUGCGAAGGCAGCUUACUAAGGAGUUACUGACACUGAGGCACGAAAGCGUGGGGAUCAAACAGG